rnacentral:rRNA from 1 species
UACGGGGGGGGCAAGCGUUGUUCGGAAUUACUGGGCGUAAAGGGCUUGUAGGUGGCCAACUAAGUCAGACGUGAAAUCCCUCGGCUUAACCGGGGAACUGCGUCUGAUACUGGAUGGCUUGAGUGUGGGAGAGGGAUGCGGAAUUCCAGGUGUAGCGGUGAAAUGCGUAGAUAUCUGGAGGAACACCGGUGGCGAAGGCGGCGUCCUGGACCAUUACUGACACUGAAAAGCGAAAGCCAGGGGAGCAAACGGG